AUUGAACGCUGGCGGCAUGCCUAACACAUGCAAGUCGAGCGAGCGUCGACCGGGUGAGUAAUGUCUGGGAAACUGCAUGAUGGAGGGGGAUACCUACUGUAAACGGUAGCUAAUACCGCAUACCAUCAAAUGUGCCCAUAUGGGAUUAGCUAGUAGGUGGGGUAACGGCUCACCUAGGCGACGAUCCCUCGCUGGUCUGAGAGGAUGACCAGCCACACUGGAACUGAGACACGGUCCAGACUCCUACGGGAGGCAGCAGUGGGGAAUAUUGCACAAUGGGCGCAAGCCUGAUACAGCCAUGCCGCGUGUGUGAAGAAGGCCUUCGGGUUGUAAAGCACUUUCAGCGGGGAGGCGGUACCCGCAGAAGAAGCACCGGCUAACUCCGUGCCAGCAGCCGCGGUAAUAC
rnacentral:rRNA from 1 species